UACGAAGGGGGCUAGCGUUGCUCGGAAUUACUGGGCGUAAAGGGAGCGUAGGCGGACAUUUAAGUCAGGGGUGAAAUCCCGGGGCUCAACCUCGGAAUUGCCUUUGAUACUGGGUGUCUUGAGUAUGGGAGAGGUGUGUGGAACUCCGAGUGUAGAGGUGAAAUUCGUAGAUAUCGGGAGGAACACCAGCGGCGAAGGCGGCUUUCUGGCCUAUGACUGACCCUGAUUGACGAAAGCUAGGGGAGCAAACAGGAUUAGAUACCCCCGUAGUCCCUGAGCGGG
rnacentral:rRNA from 1 species